rnacentral:rRNA from 1 species
CAGUAGCCGCGGGAAUACGAAGGGUGCAAGCGUUACUCGGAAUUACUGGGCGUAAAGCGUGCGUAGGUGGUGGUUUAAGUCCGUUGUGAAAGCCCUGGGCUCAACCUGGGAAUUGCAGUGGAUACUGGGUCACUAGAGUGUGGUAGAGGAUAGUGGAAUUUCCGGUGUAGCAGUGAAAUGCGUAGAGUUCGGAAGGAACAUCUGUGGCGAAGGCGACUAUCUGGGCCAACACUGACACUGAGGCACGAAAGCGUGGGGAGCAAACAGGAUUAGAUACCCCUGUAGUCCCUGUCUCUUAUAC